UAGAGUUUGAUCAUGGCUCAGGAUGAACGCUGGCGGCGUGCUUAACACAUGCAAGUCGAACGAUGAAGAGAGCUUGCUCUUGGAUUAGUGGCGAACGGGUGAGUAACACGUGAGUAACCUGCCCUUAACUCUGGGAUAAGCCUGGGAAACUGGGUCUAAUACCGGAUAUGACCUGUCACCGCAUGGUGGUGGGUGGAAAGAUUUUUUGGUUUUGGAUGGACUCGCGGCCUAUCAGCUUGUUGGUGAGGUAAUGGCUUACCAAGGCGACGACGGGUAGCCGGCCUGAGAGGGUGACCGGCCACACUGGGACUGAGACACGGCCCAGACUCCUACGGGAGGCAGCAGUGGGGAAUAUUGCGCAAUGGGCGGAAGCCUGACGCAGCGACGCCGCGUGCGGGAUGAAGGCCUUCGGGUUGUAAAGCUCUUUUACCUGGGAAGAUGAUGACGGUACCAGGAGAAUAAGCACCGGCUAACUUCGUGCCAGCAGCCGCGGUAGCCC
rnacentral:rRNA from 1 species